GGGGAUCCAGGUGUGUGUGAAUCGAGUACUGUGUGGUGGUGGGUGGUGGGUGGAAGACGCUUUUGAUCCGAGCAUCCACCCGACAACGGGGGCAUCUGUUAUGACCAAGACUGUCCCGUACCGAAAUGAGCUACCUAAAUUCCUAAUCUGGGCUACAGCUGGUCAAGAACGAUUCCGUGCCUUAGCACCCAUGUGCUGUCGAGGGUCGGCUGCUGCUGUCAUCGUUUAUGGUAUCACGAAAGAAGAGACAUUUUCAACAUUAAAGAAUUGGGUCAAAGAGCUUCGACAGCAUGGCCCACCUAAUAUUGUAGUUGCCGUUGCAGGAAAUAAGUGUGAUCUUAUCGAUGUGAGAGAAGUCAUGGAGAGAGAUGCUAAGGACCACGCCGACUCCAUUUAUGCCAUUUUUGUAGAGACCAGGGCAAAAAACGCGAUAAACAUAAAUGAACUCUUUAUAGAAAUUAGUCGAAGAAUUCCAUCCGCUGACGGCAAUCGGCCAUCUGGCAGUAAGGGCUUCAAACUCCGGAGACAGCCUUCAGAGCCUAAGCGAAGCUGCUGUUGA